rnacentral:rRNA from 1 species
CACCGCGGUUAUACGAGAGGCCCAAGUUGACAGCCCCCGGCGUAAAGCGUGGUUAAGGCCCAACAAAGACUAAAGUCGAACUCCUUCAAGGCCGUUUAACGUGUUCGAAACGGAGAAGCUCAACUACGAAAGUGACUUUACAAACCUGACCCCACGAAAGCUAUGGCA